AUACGUAGGGUGCAAGCGUUAAUCGGAAUUACUGGGCGUAAAGCGUGCGCAGGCGGUUCGGAAAGAAAGAUGUGAAAUCCCAGGGCUUAACCUUGGAACUGCAUUUUAACUACCGGGCUAGAGUGUGUCAGAGGGGGGUGGAAUUCCGCGUGUAGCAGUGAAAUGCGUAGAGAUGCGGAGGAACACCGAUGGCGAAGGCAGCCCCCUGGGAUAACACUGACGCUCAUGCACGAAAGCGUGGGGAGC
rnacentral:rRNA from 1 species